GAUGAACGCUGGCGGCGUGCCUAAUACAUGCAAGUCGAGCGAACAGACGAGGAGCUUGCUCCUCUGACGUUAGCGGCGGACGGGUGAGUAACACGUGGAUAACCUACCUAUAAGACUGGGAUAACUUCGGGAAACCGGAGCUAAUACCGGAUAAUAUAUUGAACCGCAUGGUUCAAUAGUGAAAGACGGUUUUGCUGUCACUUAUAGAUGGAUCCGCGCCGCAUUAGCUAGUUGGUAAGGUAACGGCUUACCAAGGCGACGAUGCGUAGCCGACCUGAGAGGGGGGUCGGCAACAAGGGAACGGGGACACGGUCCAGACUACAAGGGAAGGAAGAGGUAGGAAAUGUUCCGCAAGGGCCGAAAUCCUAACGAAGCAACGAGAGGUGAGUAAGAAAGGUCUAGGGAUCGUAAAACUUCGUAAUUGGGAAAAAACAAAGGGGAAAGUAACAAUGCACGUCUGGACGGAACGUAAACAGAAAGCCACGGCUAACUACGU
rnacentral:rRNA from 1 species